UUUUAAUACACCGAUUCUUAGCAACAAAGUAGUUCUUUAAUUAGUACAAAACUCGAAUAAUGCAUUGCCUAUUAUCGUGCACUGCACAUAACAUUUGGUAACUUGUACUGGCAGAUUCGUUUACAUAUGUCACCACUGUACCUGUAAUUUAGCUUAAUGCCAGGUCAGUGUGCCAAGUGUGUGUGUCUGUUUUAAAGCUUUCCCCAACAGUCGUUUCAUGGGCCUUCGCAGUAGUAACUGAAACAGUGUCUGUAUUAGGAAAUCGUAAUCAGUCAAAAUGACUGUCUCUUGCAGGUAUCCACUAUAGUCUUCACUCGCACGAGGGCAAUGAGUGGUUCACUUUUUAGAGAGUUACUUAGUAUUAUCUUAAAAAAUGGGAAAUACCGGCUGAAGGUGUAGUCAGUACGAUCAGACUGUAAUUUUGCCGAGGGAGAUGCUUGGUGUCUUUUAAGUGAACUAAGUCAAAAUCAAAGCGUGGGACUUGAAAUAUACUUGAGACCUGGUCGGAUGGUUAAGGCACAGGACAGACCAGAUGCAGUGAUCUGACGAAUCCUUUUUGGUGUAAGUUGUUCUAAUUUCUCACAUCACCACAUGCAGUUUUCUGGUGUCGGGAAUCACUUCUUGACAGAGAAAUCAAGCUUCUCCCACGUGACCAGUUUGCCCCAAAGGAGGAUGCCUGAAAGAGAAUGCCUGCCGGUCCCUUUCUGUCCCGAUCUCUGUCACAGUGGUCUCUACAGGUGUUGCGGCUGGAAGCGUCAGAAGAAAAAGGACUCCAAAAAACAUGAGGAAACCUCAACUCGCAACUAUUUAAAAGUACCCUCCUCUCUCUUGAACCGUCAGUAGGAAGUGUGUGGUUUAUUCCCUCACUCCACACCGGAUUUAAAUGGGCAGAUAGCAGCAGGAUUUUAAAAGUUUUUCAUCAUGACUUAAGUCUCUAAGAUUUAGAGUAUUUUGUUUGUCUGACUGUCUCACCAGUACGAACCUUCGCCAUCAAUAUUAGAAUGGAGAAUUCCUUCCUUUGGAAUUCACAAGCAUAACAUACAUAAUCCUUUAUCUCUGGCAAAGCUAUUAGCUUCUUGGCCUUUGGCUGGUAGAUGUAUACAGUAUCUAUAGUUAUUGCAUGCGAGUGUUCUCAACUGACUUGCAAACCCUUUGAUCAAACCAGCUAAACUUGAUUUUCCAGAUUAUUCAAGAGACAAGGCACACAUCUAUCAGCCUUACAAGUCCUGGCAAGCAAUCAAGACCCCAUGCUCCCCCACUCCCUUCAACAGAAUCAAAGGACAUCAGGGUCUCUGCUUCCUGUUCCCUCGAAGCUCAGGUUCUUCAUCACCCUGCCAUCCACGUCUUGCUACGGUGCUACUGACUUCACUGGGACAGUUUUGAAGUAGCCGUAUGCGUCCGCCUUUGUGAUUUGUCCAGUUUGUAGUAAAGAGACAGCAAACAAAAAUCA